rnacentral:rRNA from 1 species
GACGAACGCUGGCGGCGUGCCUAAUACAUGCAAGUAGAACGCACAGUUUAUACCGUAGCUUGCUACACCAUAGACUGUGAGUUGCGAACGGGUGAGUAACGCGUAGGUAACCUGCCUGGUAGCGGGGGAUAACUAUUGGAAACGAUAGCUAAUACCGCAUAAUAUUAAUUAUUGCAUGAUAAUUGAUUGAAAGAUGCAACUGCAUCACUACCAGAUGGACCUGCGUUGUAUUAGCUAGUAGGUGAGGUAACGGCUCACCUAGGCGACGAUACAUAGCCGACCUGAGAGGGUGAUCGGCCACACUGGGACUGAGACACGGCCCAGACUCCUACGGGAGGCAGCAGUAGGGAAUCUUCGGCAAUGGACGAAAGUCUGACCGAGCAACGCCGCGUGAGUGAAGAAGGUUUUCGGAUCGUAAAGCUCUGUUGUAAGAGAAGAACGGGUGUGAGAGUGGAAAGUUCACACUGUGACAGUAUCUUACCAGAAAGGGACGGCUAACUACGUG